rnacentral:rRNA from 1 species
AUGCAGUCCCAGUUGAGCUCAUUGCAAAUAUUGCAGAUAUGGAGGAAGAGCCAGUUUCCUAGAUACAAUAAUGACACAGAGAGUCCACACUUCAGCUUGACAAUGGUGUUCAGAAGCAAGAACCAGUUGGUGAAAGUACUAAAGAGAUAUGACAUUGUCACUAAAAGAAGCAUUCAAUUUAUUAAAUCUGAGUCAAAUAGAGUUUGGGCCAAGUGUGGAUGGCCUGGUUGCCCUUGGCUAAUUUAUGCUGCCAAAACCUCAAGAACCAGCAGGUUCCAGAUAAUUACCUUCAAUGAUGAGCACCAUUGUGCAUAGAAUAAAGAAAAUGAACUAAUGAUUGGAAAAGUAAUUGUACAAAGAUAUGAGCAUUUUAUUGUACCAAAUCCAAUGUGGAAGAUUGAGAGCAUGAAGGCAAUAGUGCUUUAG